GACGAACCGUGCAAACGUUGUUCGGAAUCACUGGGCUUAAAGGCGCGUAGGCGGCCACCGCAAGUCGACUGUGAAAUCUCCGGGCUUAACCCGGAAAGGUCAGCCGAUACUGCAGGGCUAGAGUGCAGAAGGGGCAACUGGAAUUCUCGGUGUAGCGGUGAAAUGCGUAGAUAUCUGGAGGAACACCGGUGGCGAAGGCGGCAUCCUGGACCGGCAUUGACGCUGAUGAGCGAAAAGCCGGGGGAGCAAACGGG
rnacentral:rRNA from 1 species